GCCUGCUUAGCUCAGUGGUAGAGCGCGUCACUUGUACGUUCUGGUGGAAAACUAGAUCUGCAUGACGAGGUCAGUCGUUCAAACCGGCUAGUUGGCA